rnacentral:rRNA from 1 species
UACGUAGGGUGCGAGCGUUGUCCGGAAUUACUGGGCGUAAAGAGCUCGUAGGUUGUUUGUCGCGUUGUUCGUGAAAACUCACAGCUUAACUGUGGGCGUGCGGGCGAUACGGGCAGACUGGAGUACUGCAGGGGAGACUGGAAUUCCUGGUGUAGCGGUGGAAUGCGCAGAUAUCAGGAGGAACACCGGUGGCGAAGGCGGGUCUCUGGGCAGUAACUGACGCUGAGGAGCGAAAGCGUGGGGAGCGAACAGG